rnacentral:lncRNA from 1 species
GGGUGGGUGUGGUGCUUUGAGAGAGGCACAGCAGAACCACUGAGAGAAAGGACGGUGUUUUUCCGUUUAGACCCUCAUUCAUCCCCUCCUUUCUCUAUUUUGCAGGUGCAGAACAUUGAGUUAUGGGGGUCCAGGGUAAACUUGGCUACCUUGGUAAACAUGGCUACAAGAUGUCAUGUUGGAGCAUUGCAGACUGCUCUUCUCCCUUCUGCCUUUACAUACAAGAUGCCUGUUGCUGAGAACACUUGUUCCCACUUCUCUAGCAGGCAAGGAUCUGGGCAGGACAACAACCACAGAUUUUUAACUCUUUGAAGGCAGGACUGUGUAAAAAUAAACACAACUAGAUCUGUUACUUGGCAGUGGAAGACUGGAUUAAAGAUGGAUGUCUGUGUACCCAAGGGUGCCCAUUUCUUAAGCAUGAAUGUGCUUUCCUUUUGGAAUAAAGAAGAAGGUAGCUGGGGAAAGACUGGAAAUUAACAGGUAUCACAGGAUUCCCAGGGUCUUCCACUGAUAAAAAAUGCCAACUUUACUUUUUCAUUAUCUCUUAUAUCUAUGCUCUCUUUUCCAUUCCAUUCUAUCAGUAUCUCUACCCACCUCUUGCCUGGACCAAUGCAAAAGCCUCCCAACCUUCCACCUCAUGCUUUGUUGUUUAUGUGUUAUCGGCCUCAUGAGAUAGAGUUAUCUUGGCUUUGCCACUUACUAGCAGGGCAACCUUGGCAAAGGCAUUAAUUUUUUUCAGAGCCUGAGUUUACUCAUUUGUCGAAAGCAGAUAAUGACAAAACAUGUCCUACUAGUAUUGUGAAAAUUUGUUUAAAAUAUCUGUGUGAACCAAGCCAGACCACAAAGGCUGGGCCAGGCUAGAGGACUGGAGAGGCCAACCAGGCAGACUUGGCGGUGGUGACUUCCUUUUAGCUUUUGCCUCUGCCAGCAAGCAAGGCAAGGAGGCAGAAGAUACAAGCGGACACAUCUCCCCAGCACAAGCCCAAUUUCAGUGAUUUUGGCAGGUUUCAGUGAUGCAGCGGAGGACAAGGCUGACGUCAGGAUGAUGCCACUGUGUAGAUUCUAAAGGAGGCUCUUCUAUUAAUGCCAUUACUACAUCUAGUGCUGGUAUCUGCAUUGUGCUAGGUAUUUUUGCAUACUUCUUUAUAUUCAAUCAACAUGACAAAGAGGGAAAGUAGGUAUAAUUGCCCUCAUUUUACAAAUGUCAUCACUGAUAGAAAGGUUCAGUAACUUACUCAAGACCACAAAAUUAGGUCUUUUUGAAAAUUAAAAAAAAUUCAAACCCAGGAUAUAAACUCAGGUUUAUUUUAUUCCCAAGCCUAUUAAUUUCAAGUUACAGUUAUUAUCAAACUGUAUGUUUCUUAAGGCAGGAUCUGAGUUGUGUAAUCAUUUAUCCCCAUAGUAGCUUGCCCUUAAGAGGUACUUAGUACAUAUUUUUUGAUGAAUGAUGUUGUACAAAUAAUGGUGUCCUGUUUUAUAGGUUAUGGUUUAAAAAUAGAGGAAGUCUAUAGGACUCUUAGAAAGUAAUUAAGAUAUCUGAGAAGACUAAGAUUGAGAACUUCUUGGAGGUCUAAUUCUAAAUUAAACUUCCAAGUUGGGAUGCAAAAAUAAGGAGGAUGUUUGGAAACAUCCCAUGAUUUAUAUUUACAUAAGCUUCAUAAGGAGAAUGAAUACAGACUGACCUUUGCUUGAGAGCCAUGUGAUGGCCAGAGAAAGCGGCAUGGGUUAACAGCCAAAAGGAAAUCAGCAUUAUACUAAAGCAGUGUUUCUCAAAGUGUGUUCCAGGGAAGGAUAUACCCAAGAAACAAUAUCCAUCAAGAGACUUCUAUAAAAAGAGGAGAUAAUUUAAUACAUAUAGAAGCAUGACAUAGUUCCACGGAUCCCUGAACAAUACAGGGGUUGGGGGCAUUGACCCUUGUGCAGACAAAAAUCUGCAUGUAACUUUUUUUUGAGACAGAGUCUCUCUCUGUCGCCCAGGCUGGAGUGCAGUGUUGUGAUCACAGCUCAUUGCAACCUCAAUCUCCUAGGCUUGAGCCAUCCUCCCACCUUAGCCUCCCAACUAGCUGGGACUACAGUAGCACACCACCAUGUCCAGCUAAUUUAAAAAAAAUUUUUUUUUAGUAGAGACAAGGUCUCACUAUGUUGCCCAGGCUGGUCUCGAACUCCUGGCCUCGAGCAAUCCUCCCAAUUCGGCCUCCCAAAGUGCUGGGACUAUAGGGUGAGCCACCAUGCCCAGCCUGCAUAUAACUUUUGACUCCCCCAGAACUUACCUACCAAUAACCUACUGUUGACUGGAAGCCUUAUGGAUAACAUAAAUAGUUGAUUAACACAUAUUUUAUAUCUUAUAUGUAAUAAUAUCGGAUUCUUACAAUAAAGUAAGUUAGAGAAAAGAAAAUGUAAUCGAGAAAAUUGUAAGGAAGAGAAAAUAUAUUUACUAUCCAUUAGGUAGAAGUGGAUCAUUAUAAAGGUCUUCUUCCUCCUUGUCUUCACAUUGAGUAGGCUGAGGAGGAGAAAGAGGAGAGGUUUGUUUUGCUGUUUCAGAGGUGGCAGAGGUAGAAGAAGAAAGUCCACAUGUAAGUAGACUUGCACAGUUCAAACCUGUGUUGUUCAGCGGUAAUCUGUAUACUCUUGUGGUAUAAAUGAACACAUUAAAGGCUGAGAAUUCUUAUAAUUAAAAAAAAAUCCUAACCAAAAAAAAAAAGCAAAAACAAACAAACAAAAAACACCAGUAAAAGGAGUGGGGUGUGGUAGGUGCCUUAGGAUUGACAUUACUAAAAGGUUCGUCAAAAUGUUGCCUUCCAAAAUUAAAGAACAGUCUGUACUAUAAAAUACAGAAGUUGAUUGCAUCCUUCCAAAUGACAGUAUUAACUUUAUUUAACGAGUAUUCCCAAAUAUAGUUAACACUUACUUUUACCCAUAGCCCCUCCCAUUUCAUCACUUAUUUAUGUGCCAAGGAACUAGUGGUUAUCAGAGCCCACUGAGAAAUGCUAGGAAAGAAACUGAGUGGUAGUUUUACAAAAAUCCUUUUUUCACCUUUUCUUAUCUUCUUAUUUAUAUGUUUUUGUGUUUGUUGAUGGAGGUUGGGUUAUUUCAGGUAUUCAUUCAAUAAAUAUUUACCAAAUACCUAUAAAGCAUAAGACACAGUGGUACAUUCUCUGAGUUAGUAGAUUCUUGAUUUCUCUUUGUCUCAUGAGGAAGGGAAGAGGAAGGGGUUGGGGAGAUAGGUGUGCAGGAGUGUUGGGAAUCAUACCUAAUUAAGACGUCACCAUAUCUCCAGCCAUCAGAAGUUAUUCAUGCGCAAAUAACAAAAGCCUAAAUCUCUAUUGCCAUAAAGGAGUUCAGUAUUUUAUUAGGGUUUCCUCCUCAAGUAAUUUUUGGAAACUGUUAUGGUUUGAAUGUAUUCUUCAAAGUUCAUGUGCUGGAAACUUAAGCUCCAAUGUAACCAUAUUGAGAAGUGGGACAUUUCAGAGGUGACUAUCCCCUCAUGAAUGAGUUAAAGCCUUUAUCUUGGGAGUGGGUUAGUUAUCACAGGAGUUGGUUUCUGUUAAAAGGAUGAGUUUGGCCUUCUUCCUCUCUCUCUCUCGUGUGUACACGCAGGCAUGUGCUUUCUCAUCAUGUGAUGUCAUCUGCCAGGUCAUGAUGCAGCAAGAAGGCCCUCACCAGAUGCCACCCCUCCAGAACCAUGAGCCAAAUAAAUGUCUGUUCUUUAUAAAUG